rnacentral:rRNA from 1 species
UACGUAGGGGGGCAAGCGUUGUCCGGAUUUAUUGGGCGUAAAGAGCGUGUAGGCGGCCAGGUAGGUCCGUUGUGAAAACUCGAGGCUCAACCUCGAGACGCCGAUGGAAACCAUCUGGCUAGAGUCCGGAAGAGGAGAGUGGAAUUCCUGGUGUAGCGGUGAAAUGCGCAGAUAUCAGGAAGAACACCCGUGGCGAAGGCGGCUCUCUGGGACGGUACUGACGCUGAGACGCGAAAGCGUGGGGAGCGAACAGG